UACGUAGGGUGCGAGCGUUGUCCGGAAUUAUUGGGCGUAAAGAGCUCGUAGGCGGCCUGUUGCGUCCGCUGUGAAAGCCCGGGGCUUAACCCCGGGUCGCAGUGGAUACGGGCAGGCUAGAGGUAGGUAGGGGAGAAUGGAAUUCCCGGUGUAGCGGUGAAAUGCGCAGAUAUCGGGAGGAACACCGGUGGCGAAGGCGGGUCUCUGGGGCCGAUACUGACGCUGAGGAGCGAAAGCGUGGGGAGCGAACAGG
rnacentral:rRNA from 1 species